rnacentral:lncRNA from 1 species
UGAUAUUCUUCUAGCAACCAAUCCCAACAUAGGGAAUCCUGGAGGAGGUGGAAAAUACUGUCAGUCUGUUGGUGGAAUUCCUGGGAAAUUAAAAGCAGCUGAAGCAGUAAGAACAGAGCUGGAACCAGACUUCAGCCAGGAAUUGUGCAAAAAUUGUCCAAAAGAUCAGGAAUCAAACUGGAUUGACAUAUUUCUUGGACACCACAAUCCAGUGGGAAAGCUAAAAGAAAACCUAAGAAAGCAAAUGACCCAAAUCUUCCAAAACCCUCAAAUGGCCACAUUCCCUAGCAUUGCUGAGGACUUCAGCCAAGCUCCAAGAAAAAGGUGAGCCCAUAUGGAAUACUUUAUGGGAAACUAUAUCCAACUGUGACUCUUCCUGGGGAAAGCCAUGGGAUAGGUUAUCCUAGUUUCAGAGAAUAUGCUGUUUCCUUGGGAAAAACACUUUGCAUAACCUUAUUGUUUUAGCCUAACCAGUAACCUGGGAUAUCCAAGUCCAUCCUACCCAGUGGGGAGGCUGGGAGUACAACCAAACAUGGAGAAUUUCUGGGAAAGCCCUGGAGAAGAAACAAGGCUCCAGCUUUGCAGGUCUGUGUCAUAACCCAUUCUGUCAGCCACUCCUGUUUGAUCCCAGUGGAUUUGUCCUCUUGUAUUCAACCUCAGCAGCACUAAUUGCUGGGAAUUAAGCAGCCUUUGGUACUUCUUUUCCAUAAAACCUCUCCAUCCCACCCUUCAGUUCUGUUGUGCAGAGAGGAAAAACCCAAAACUUCUUUUUUUCCCCUCUCCCCUUCCCUUUGCCUCUUCUUUUUGUGCAGGCUUUGGGCUAUCCAGUUGUGGAUGUGGAUUAGGCAGAGCACCUUGGAAGCUGAGCUCAAUGUGGAAUUGGAGCAGUUUUGGAACCACCACGGAUACUCCCAAGCUCAAGACUAAGGUGGUGUUCCCUGAGGGGCUGCAGGUCCCUGGAUGUGGAGGGAGGAGGUCUCUGCUGGAGACUGGAGAAAUGUCCCUGCUGGUUGCUGGGUCCUCGGUGGGCAGAGAACUCUGAUCUCAGCAAGAUGUGUUUGUGAGUAUUGAAUCAAUCCUACCUCCUUUUUAAUGAGUUGUUUUAAUUAGUCAUCAGCAGGGAACACUUUUAGCCAGCUUUAGUUAAGUUUCUUUUUCACAGAUUUCUUGCUGUUUUGAUCAUGAAAUCACCAAAACCUUAAGUUUGCUAAAUAAACCCUGAAAUGCUUCAAUGAACA